AUAAAACUUUACAUAUCUGUUCCUUAAAUUGUCAAGGACUAGGCCAAAAAGAAAAAAGAAAUAGGCUUUAUACUUGGUUAAAAUAUCAAAAAACAGAUAUACUUUUUAUCCAAGAAACUCAUUUUGUUAAAGAAAUAGAAAAUAAAGUAAGUAAUGAAUAUGACGCAGAUAUUUUUCACAGUUUUGGCACAACACAAUCAAAAGGAGUGGCUAUAUUUAUUAAAAAAACAAUAAACCCAAAGAUAAUUGAUACUUUUACUGAUCAAGAAGGUCGCAUAAUUCUUGUAAAUGUUGAAAUAAACAACAACAUAUUUUCUUUAAUAAAUUUAUAUGCACCUAAUGAGAAAAAAAAGCGAAACAUCUUCUUUAAAAAUGUAAAUAAAAUAAUUGAAGAACAUAGUCUUGGAAUUUUAGUAGUAGGGGGAGAUAUGAAUGAAACAUUGAGUAGUACAGAUAGAAAGAAUAAUAAUAAAAAAAGAGAACAAAAAAUUACAAAUAGUUUGAAAACUUUAAUAAAAACAAACAAACUAGAAGAUAUUUGGAGACAAUUACAUCCGAAACUAUAUCAAUAUACAUGGAAACGUAAAAAUAAGGACGAUGAGGCAAGUAGAAUAGAUUAUUUUCUAACGGGUAAGGAAUUGAGAACUAUGAUAAAGUCUACAGAUAUAAGACCAGCCCUAAUUUCUAGUACAGACCAUCAGGCAAUUUCAUUGAAAAUUAACAUGUCCAAUGAUAAUAAGGGUAAAGGGUUCUUUAAAAUAAACAACAGCAUACUUACUGACAAAUCUUAUAAAGAUAAAAUAGAAAAAGUUAUAGACUAUUUUAUACUUAAAAGCAAUUACACUGAAAAUUUAUCACAAUUAUGGGACCUGUUUAAAAUUGAAGUAAGAGAAUCAACAAUACAGUUUUGCAAAAAUAAAUCUAGGCAAAGGAAAAAUGAAAUUCAAAAUUUGGAAAAAAAACUUCAAACAUUACAGAAAAGAAAGGAUAAUAAUAAAUCAAGUGAAGUAGAAAAGAACGAAAUCAAUUUAUUAGAAAGUGAGAUAGAAUCUCUUUAUAGUUAUAAAGCAAAAGGUGCACAGAUACGUUCAAGGAUAAAAUGGAUAGAAGAAGGGGAAAAGAAUUCUAAAUUUUUUCUAGGAUUAGAGAAAAGUAGACAAACAAGAAAAAAUAUAAUAAAUUUAAAAAACGAGAAAGGGGAGAUAAUUACAAAAC
rnacentral:lncRNA from 1 species